rnacentral:rRNA from 1 species
ACCGAUAGUGAACCAGUACCGUGAGGGAAAGGCGAAAAGAACCCCGGCGAGGGGAGUGAAAAAGAACCUGAAACCGUGUACGUACAAGCAGUGGGAGCACCCUUUGGGGUGUGACUGCGUACCUUUUGUAUAAUGGGUCAGCGACUUAUAUUCUGUAGCAAGGUUAACCGAAUAGGGGAGCCGGAGGGAAACCGAGUCUUAACCGGGCGUUAAGUUGCAGGGUAUAGACCCGAAACCCGGUGAUCUAGCCAUGGGCAGGUUGAAGGUUGGGUAACACUAACUGGAGGACCGAACCGACUAAUGUUGAAAAAUUAGCGGAUGACCUGUGGCUGGGGGUGAAAGGCCAAUCAAACCGGGAGAUAGCUGGUUCUCCCCGAAAGCUAUUUAGGUAGCGCCUCGUGAAUUCAUCUCCGGGGGUAGAGCACUGUUUCGGCUAGGGGGCCAUCCCGGCUUACCAACCCGAUGCAAACUGCGAAUACCGGAGAAUGUUAUCACGGGAGACACACGGCGGGUGCUAACGUCCGUCGUGAAGAGGGAAACAACCCAGACCGCCAGCUAAGGUCCCAAAGUCAUGGUUAAGUGGGAAACGAUGUGGGAAGGCCCAGACAGCCAGGAUGUUGGCUUAGAAGCAGCCAUCAUUUAAAGAAAGCGUAAUAGCUCACUGGUCGAGUCGGCCUGCGCGGAAGAUGUAACGGGGCUAAACCAUGCACCGAAGCUGCGGCAGCGACACUCAGGUGUUGUUGGGUAGGGGAGCGUUCUGUAAGCCUGCGAAGGUGGCCUGUGAGGGUUGCUGGAGGUAUCAGAAGUGCGAAUGCUGACAUA